GAUGAACGCUGGCGGCGUGCUUAACACAUGCAAGUCGAGCGAGAAGUUUUGAAAAGAUUCUUCGGAUGAAAUUUAAAAUGGAAAGCGGCGGACGGGUGAGUAACGCGUAGGCAACCUGCCCCAUACAAAGGGAUAGCAUUUGGAAACGAAUAUUAAUACCUUAUGAAACUUAACUAGUGCAUGCUAGGUAGGUCAAAGAUUUAUCGGUAUGGGAUGGGCCUGCGUCUGAUUAGCUAGUUGGUGAGGUAACGGCUCACCAAGGCGACGAUCAGUAGCCGACCUGAGAGGGUGAACGGCCACAUUGGAACUGAGACACGGUCCAAACACCUACGGGAGGCGGCAGUGGGGAAUAUUGCACAAUGGGGGAAACCCUGAUGCAGCAACGCCGCGUGAACGAGGAAGGCCUUUGGGUCGUAAAGUUCUGUUCUAGGUGAUGAAAACUGACAGUAACCUAGGAAAAAGCCCCGGCUAACUCCGUG
rnacentral:rRNA from 1 species